GACGAACGCUGGCGGCGUGCCUAAUACAUGCAAGUUGAGCGCUGAAGGUUGGUACUUGUCCCAACUGGAUGAGCAGCGAACGGGUGAGUAACGCGUGGGGAAUCUGCCUUUGAGCGGGGGACAACAUUUGGAGUCGAAUGCUAAUACCGCAUAAAAACUUUAAACACAAGUUUUAAGUUUGAAAGAUGCAAUUGCAUCACUCAAAGAUGAUCCCGCGUUGUAUUAGCUAGUUGGUGAGGUAAAGGCUCACCAAGGCGAUGAUACAUAGCCGACCUGAGAGGGUGAUCGGCCACAUUGGGACUGAGACACGGCCCAAACUACUACGGGAGGCAGCAGUAGGGAAUCUUCGGCAAUGGACGAAAGUCUGACCGAGCAACGCCGCGUGAGUGAAGAAGGUUUACGGAUCGUAAAACUCUGUUGGUAGAGAAGAACGUUGGUGAGAGUGGAAAGCUCAUCAAGUGACGGUAACUACCCAGAAAGGGACGGCUAACUACGUG
rnacentral:rRNA from 1 species